UCGUGUCAGGAUGAACGCUGGCGGCGUGCCUAACACAUGCAAGUCGAGCGGAGAUAAAGGGUGAUUCUUCGGAUGAAUCCUUAUCUUAGCGGCGGAUGGGUGAGUAACACGUGGGUAACCUGCCCUGCACAGGGGGAUAACAGCUGGAAACGGCUGUUAAUACCGCAUAUGCACACGCUGCCGCAUGGCAGGGGGUGGAAAGAUUUAUCGGUGCAGGAUGGGCCCGCGUCGGAUUAACUAGUUGGCAGGGUAACGGCCUACCAAGGUGAUGAUCCGUAGCCGACCUGAGAGGGUGACCGGCCACAUUGGGACUGAGACACGGCCCAAACUCCUACGGGAGGCAGCAGUGGGGGAUAUUGCACAAUGGGCGGAAGCCCUGAUGCAGCGACGCCGCGUGAAGGAAGAAGUAUUUCGGUAUGUAAACUUCUAUCAGCGGGGAAGAAGAUGACGGUACCCGACUAAGAAGCCCCGGCUAACUACGUGCCAGCCGCGGC
rnacentral:rRNA from 1 species